UACGUGAGGGGCGAACGUUGUUCGGUGUCACUGGGCUUAAAGGGCGCGUAGGUGGCUGUGUAAGUAACGUGUGAAAUCCCCCGGCUUACCCGGGGAAUUGCGCGUUAUACUGCAUGGCUUGAGGGUCACAGGGGAUGGAGGAACUCCAGGUGUAGCGGUGAAAUGCGCAGAUAUCUGGGGGAAGGCCGGCGGCGAAGGCGUCCAUCUGGGUGAUUCCUGACACUGAGGCGCGAAAGCGUGGGGAG
rnacentral:rRNA from 1 species